UACCUCUCAGGGUCAAACCUGGAGAGUUUCCAGUAUUCUACCAGUCACGGCUACAAGAGGAAAGUCAAGCAAAGGCAGAUCCAUGCCAUUCCUAGUUUGGGCAGUGGCUAGCAAGUGGAAGGCAAUCUGCUACAAGU